UACGGAGGAUGCGAGCGUUAUCCGGAUUUAUUGGGUUUAAAGGGAGCGCAGGCGGCGCGCCAAGUCUGAUGUGAAACCCCGGGGCUCAACCCCGGGCAUGCAUUGGAAACUGGCGGGCUGGAGUGCCGGAGAGGUAAGCGGAAUUCCUAGUGUAGCGGUGAAAUGCGUAGAUAUUAGGAGGAACACCAGUGGCGAAGGCGGCUUACUGGACGGCAACUGACGCUGAGGCUCGAAAGCGUGGGGAGCAAACAGG
rnacentral:rRNA from 1 species